rnacentral:rRNA from 1 species
CCUACGGGGGACUGCAGUGAGGAAUAUUGGGCAAUGGGCGCAAGCCUGACCCAGCAACGCCGCGUGAAGGAAGAAGGCUUUCGGGUUGUUAACUUCUUUUCUCAGGGGCGAAACAAGUGACGGUACCUGGGGACUAAACCACGGCUAACUACGGGCCAGCAGCAGCGGUAAUACGUAGGGGGCAAGCGUUAUACGGAUUUACUGGGUGUAAAGGGCGUGUAGGCGGGGACGCAAGUCAGAUGUGAAAACCACGGGCUCAACCUGUGGCCUGCCUUUGAAACUGUGUUUCUUGAGUACGGGAGAGGCAGACGGAAUUCGUAGUGUAGCGGUGAAAUGCGUAGAUAUUAGGAGGAACACCAGUGGCGAAGGCGGUCUGCUGGAGAGCAACUGACGCUGAGGCGCGAAAGCGUGGGUAGCAAACAGGAUUAGAUACCCUUGUAGUC